AGGCAGAGCUGGUUUCUGGUGCAGGCCUGAGCUACUUGCUGAAGCAGGCUAGUCUGCCUUGGUGUUCAGAGACUAUAGCUCUGUCUGUCUGCACAGGCUCUUACCGCCCCCCCCCCCCCCCCCCCGCCCUUGCUCGCUGAGUUCUGGGCUUCCUUCCCAGGGUUCAGAGCCUUUGACUCUGCUCCUUCCCUUCCCACGGCUGAGUUGGCACAGGAGCACCUGGGUGAGCUGCACCAGACUUAAGAAGAUGAGGCCCCCGAUUCUGUUAGCUGCCCUCCUCUGGCUCCAGGACUCUUUGGCCCAGGAAGAUGUAUGCUCAUCCUUGGAUGGGAGCCCAGACAGGCAGGGUGGAGGUUCACCUCUGAGUGUGAACGUCAGCAGCCGCG
ensembl:processed_transcript